rnacentral:rRNA from 1 species
AAUCUUCCACAAUGGACGGAAGUCUGAUGGAGCAACGCCGCGUGAGCGAAGAAGGUUUUCGGAUCGUAAAGCUCUGUUGUAAGGGAAGAACACGUACGGGAGUCACUGCCCGUACCUUGACGGUACCUUAUCAGAAAGCCACGGCUACAUACGUGCCAGCAGCCGCGGUAAUACGUAGGUGGCAAGCGUUGUCCGGAAUUAUUGGGCGUAAAGCGCGCGCAGGCGGUCCUUGAAGUCGGAUGUGAAAGGCCAGAGCUCAACCGGGGAGGGUCAUUGGAAACAGGAGGACUUGAGUACAGAAGAGGAAAGAGGAAUUCCACGUGUAGCGGUGAAAUGCGUAGAGAUGUGGAGGAACACCAGUGGCGAAGGCGGCUUUCUGGUCUGUAACUGACGAUGAGGCGCGAAAGAGUGGGGAGCAAACA